rnacentral:rRNA from 1 species
UCUGGUUGAUCCUGCCAGUAGUCAUAUGCUUGUCUCAAAGAUUAAGCCAUGCAUGUCUCAGUACAAGCCGUCCUGUACGGUGAAACCGCGAAAGGCUCAUUAAAUCAGUUAUGGUUCCUUAGAUCGUACCCACGUUACAUGGAUAACUGUGGUAAUUCUAGAGCUAAUACAUGCCGACAGAGCUCCGACCAGCGUGUCGUCGUUCGGCGGCUCGUCCGUCGUCGGCGGCCGUUCGGAAGGAGCGCUUUUAUUAGAUCAAAACCGGCCAAGCGUUUCGUUCGUGCUUCGCGCACGUUCGGACGUAAGUGGCCCGCGCAAAGACUUGACGACUCUGAAUAACUUCGAGCUGAUCGCACGGUCCUAGUACCGGCGACGUAUCUUUCAAAUGUCUGCCUUAUCAACUGUCGACGGUAGGUUCUACGCCUACCGUGGUGGUAACGGGUAACGGGGAAUCAGGGUUCGAUUCCGGAGAGGGAGCCUGAGAAACGGCUACCACAUCCAAGGAAGGCAGCAGGCGCGUAAAUUAUCCAUUUGCAGUUCGCAGAGAUAGUGACGAAAAAUAACGAUACGGGACUCAUCCGAGGCCCCGUAAUCGGAAUGAGUACACUUUAAAACCUUGGUCACACGAGGAUCAAUUGGAGGGCAAGUCUGGUGCCAGCAGCCGCGGUAAUUCCAGCUCCAAUAGCGUAUAUUAAAGUUGUUGCGGUUAAAAAGCUCGUAGUCGGAUCUGUGUCCUCGCGGCGUCGGACCACCGAGUGGGGACGCCUCGUGCGCUCCUCCAGGUGAUCGUUCCCGGCGUGUCAGCGGGACGUCCUGCCGGCAGGCGGGUACGCGUCGUCGUCGUCGGUCACGUUCGCUNUUCUUAGUUGGUGGAGCGAUCUGUCUGGUUAAUUCCGAUAACGAACGAGACUCUGUCCUGCUAACUAGGCGGGUUCCUCGCCGCCCGCGGGUUUGCGUGCGCCGUCGAGGUGCGGUCGGGCCCUGUGACGUCGUUCUGCGGCGUUGCGGUACGUUCGGUCGUGCAGCGGCGGUGUGCGUGCCGCGGUCUACGGCGAACCGGUAUCCCCGAACGUGGUUGGUCGCCGUCCACGGCGGAUUUGCCGCCGGUGUGGUGGUUCGGGUGUCGGGUGCUCGUCGUCGGAUUUCGGUUCGGCGGCGAGUAUUUGUGCGCUCGGGCUGCUCACCGGCGGCGUCCGACGCCGGCGAUCGUUCGCCGCUAAUAGGGCUACCGCCGGCUGAUAAAGCUUAAACUCUUCUUAGAGGGACAGGCGGCGGACACACAUAGCCGCACGAGACUGAGCGAUAACAGGUCUGUGAUGCCCCUGGGCCGCACGCGCGCUACACUGAAGGAAUCAGCGUGUACUCAAUUCCCGGGCCGAGAGGCUAUACCGGGCAACCCGCUGAACCUCCUUCGUGCUAGGGAUCGGGGCUUGCAAUUAUUCCCCGUGAACGAGGAAUUCCCAGUAAGCGCGAGUCAUCAGCUCGCGUUGAUUACGUCCCUGCCCUUUGUACACACCGCCCGUCGCUACUACCGAUUGAACGACCGCAGUGAGGUCUUCGGACCGCGGUGCGGCGGCCUUCGGGCCGAUUUGCACCCGCGGGAAGAUGACCGAACUCGGCCGUUUAGAGGAAGUAAAAGUCGUAACAGGUGAACCUGCGGAAGGAUCAUUA